AUCCAAAGUAAAAGGGUUAGUGUAAACCACCUCCUGUGUUAGUUACUAAAGCCUCUUAGAGAUUUUUUGGUUUGUGGUUACAUUUGGUCUCUGACUGCUUUAACACACCAGGCUGAAAGCUAUUUCCCAGAUGCUUUUGACUUUAAUUCUAUUCCAUCCAUGAAAAUAAAGCACAUUUCAAAAAACUUUAUAACAUAGUCUAGAGGAAGAACAGAAAAAUGAUUUUUUUUUGAGUGUAACAUUUCUUGUGUACAUUUACUUAUAUUUACUGCGGAUCUUUCACCAAAAUUUUAGUUCAUCUAUUGUCUGUAAAAUAUGUGGAUGCCAUUUUUAUUGUGAAUGUUUUUAAUCAAAUGUUAUUCAAUCAAAUUUAUUGCUUGGCAAUUUGUCUAUAAUUUAUUUCUCCACUUUUAUAUAACAAACUCUUAUAUAUGAGCUUACGGUAGUUUUAUAGAGUUUCUUUUUAUAACUUACCACCCUAGAGAUGUGUUCCUACGCAGCCCCAAAAAAGAUUUAUAUCAGAUAUAAUAGAGAUUAAGCUGGUUCUUCUAACUCAUCUGUGUUCUCUUUUCUUACUUUAUUCUUAGCACUUUUAUCUAUCAUGCUUGCCUAUUCUGCACUGAAUUCUAGCAGUACAAAAUUGGAUUUGCUCAUCAAUUUUUUUUAGUCAUGAACAAUUAAUUAAACAUAAAAAGAAGGUUCUUUAUGUUUUAAACUACCCACUCCAAAGUAAUUUCUUGUUGAUCACCAUCACCACUCUAUUUCUUACUGAAAUAUUUCCUUUUCCUUAAAAAGCAUAUGAAAUCCUAUGAUCUAAAAUUUGGUGGACUCCAUGACACUGAAACAGGAAAAAGCUGUGUAAUAAUUUCAUACUAUACUAGGCUGCCUAUUUUAGUAUCUUUAUAUUGACAAAGAUAAAUAUUUAGAUUUGGCACUAUUACUAAUCACUAUUUCUGCAAAUAGAGAAAAAUACUUUUCAGACUUUCUUAAAGACAAGAUCUGAUUGCACGCCUAAUUAUCUAUUUUGUAGGGUUAAUCUUUAAUUACAAUGAUAAUAACUUUUUUAAUUUAAUAUAUAAAUAUCUCAUAUAGUAUAAAUAUAUACAUAUAUUUAAUUGUGCUUCAGCAGUUGGUGCUGAAGCAUAAUGAUUCAGUGUGUAAAACAUUCUUAUCAGGAAAGUAAUCCUGUUAUGUAUUAAAAAUAUAUAUAUACACUAUCAGAAUUGUGACAGUGAGAAAGUAUUCCUACACUUCUAGUUAAAAUCACAGUAAGGUUAGAAAAGAAAAUAAAAAGGAAAAGAAAAGGAAAAGAAAAAAGAAAAGCAAAGUAAAAGAA
rnacentral:lncRNA from 1 species